CCUUUUUUACUUUGUUUCAUCUAGUAGUUGGUAGAACAGGGGUUGAAUUUUUUUUUGUAGAACAGGGGUACUGCUUACAAGUUUUCUUUAUUUCUUUACAGGGGUGCUUCUACCAGAGCACGAGUAGUCACUCGGACACUAACGCCAUACGGCCGUGAGAAGGAAGGUGCAUUUGCGUGGGUCUUUGUGGUGCGGCGGCGGGCUCGGGUUGGGAGCGGUUUAGCGGUUAUCGGGGGUGUUUCGAGGUGGGCUGGGUGGUGGGCGUUUAGGAUUGGGAUUGCGAGGACCGGUAGUGGCGCCGGCGGUACCACUCGCUUCGGCGGUUGCGGCCGUAGCUGGCGCACGACACCUGCCUCCGGCUCUAGCGGUGCGCCCAGCGGCUCCAGCGGAGCCUCGAGCGGCGGCUGUAGGCGGCCGAGCGCCUCGGCCGACAGCAGCACCCGCAGCGGUGCCCCCGCAAGGAGAAGGAGCGACUGGACCACGCCGCGCAGCUGCACGGCGAGCGGCAGCUGGAGCACGCGCAGCUCAGCAUACCGCUGCCGUGGCUCAGGUCGCCGGCCGGGGCCCAGUGGCGACUGGAGUUCCAGCUGCAGCGGCCCUUCGUGCAGCACCACCAACUUCUAUAACACCUGUGUCCCUUAUGACAAAGGACAGAGUAACGGGUAAAUGUUUUCUUUCCUCGUGACAGGUAUAGUCAAACGUGAAAGGACCUGUUUGGUCGUUCCUCCUGUCAGCUAAAAGUCGAUCACCCCCCACCUUUUAAAAUGUCUCCGAAGCUCACGGGGCUGUCGAAACAACAACCGAUACCAUACCUAAUACGCCUCGAGAUGGCGUUGGACGGGAUACAACCUCAAGAGUUCGGACUCUACAUGUCAUUCUUUUGACUGUUGAUCCGGCCUUCGUCUGUUCUGAACGUUGGGGAAAACGUUCUCGUGUAUUUAAAACUUCUUUGUGUUUGUAAAGCCAAAAAUAUAAACAUCCGUUUAACACGAAUUAAAACGUGUUCUGUACAAGGAAAGAAGUAAACCCGACUCCCUUAAUAAGACAAGGAGAUUUAUUCGUAUUGUGCUUCGUAAAACGGGUAUACGACGUUGGUACUUCUUUUAGAUAGACCAACAUACUGUACAAGGCAGCAGGUAAGUGUCUAGUGUUGACCAGACGAACAUUCGAUAUAUGAGCAGUUCAAGGACGUUUUUUUAAUCUCUCACAAAUAGAGGAAUAAAUAACACUACUCUUGUUUUCCCAAAAGGUCUUAGCAUCACCCCAAAAGGUCUUAUCUCAUGGGCGUCCGGCAAUCUUUGAAACUUUACGAUAAAGGAAAAACUACCUAUAAAAAGAAGACACCUUGUACUCCAACUUCACAGGGUGAGCCCUACAUCACACGGUGACGUUAGGGGGACAGGACAGGAGAAAAAGGAGCAACACCGGUGUCGAGGCCGGUACCGCUACUCGAAGAACAGGUGGCGAUUGCGUAGCAAGCACGGGAAGGCGGCGGAGAGGGCGGUGUUCGGGUGGCGGUGGGGGAGCGAGGUCAAGGGGUGGUUAGCCGCGGCGAGUGGGAGGACGAGGGAAGAGGGAGGGGUCGUGGCCGCGGAGAGGAGAAGGUUCCGGGGGUGGUGGUUGGAGGAGAGUAGUUAGUGCCGGCGGAGCUCUUGUGACGAGAAGGACGAGCAGCGGAGGUAGGAGAGGGAGAGGCCGCAGGCCGCGGGGGAGGGCAGUGAGCGGCGGGGAGGGGGUGGGUGCGUCGUUGGCGUUCUGCUGUGGUUCCCCGUCGUUCUUCUUCUUGGGCUGGUUCCCCUAGUCCUUCUCCUCCUGCUCCGCCUCACCAAAGCCUUCCUCCUCCUCCUCCACCUCCGCCGGACCUACGUCGGUUCGCUGCUCCUCCUCCUCCUUCUCCUGCUACUGCUCCAGGUCUACAUGGACCUCCAGGACUCGCUCCUGGGCCCGCUGCACCUGCGCGAGUUCACGCACGAGAAGCGGUCCUACGCCGCGUUCCUGACCCCGCCGCGCGACGCGAUGCGCCGCGUCGACGCCCUCCGGCUCGGGCCGCUCCACCUCACCGCCGAGUACCUCCGCGACGACGUGCUCGAGUUGCCCCUGUAGCGGUGGCGGCUCGCCGAGAAGGUCCUCCAGGAGCGCCUCUUCGGGGAGGAGCAGGCCCGAGAGGUACCUGAGCGUAACACGUACGUAUUUUCCGAGCUUCCAGGUUGACAAAAGCUCUACGACCUCUUUCGAAACGUUGAACGUCAUAGGCUCCUUUCCCAGGGUCUUCUCGCGUUGUAUUUCGAAGACUAACGUGUCUACGUACAACAGUUCCCACUGGACCUAGAACGUAGUCUCUUCGACUCUUGAGAAUAAUUGCUCCUAGGUUCCCUAAAAGCCGGAGUAGAAACGGUCCCGUAACAUAUACGUGAAGACCUGUUUUUCCUUCUUCGUCUGCUCGUUAAACUGCACAUGUCUUCGGAACACGGCCUACUCAAGGGCCUGUUCUCAAAAUAGUUACUACAAUAUGAUAGCCGGUUUCACCUCAGUUUUCUAGCCGAUGUCUUCCUGAAAUCUAGUCUCAUGGAUAGAUUUUUCACUCUGGACUCCAAAAGGAUAUGGACUUGCCGAGUAGUAUGAAUCACUCCAUCAAGAUCUAGCAACGCAUAAAGACGCGUAUGUCAAUGUGUUCACGUUGCAACGAUAUUACUUCUAUUCACUUCCUCUACACCUAGAGGACAUUGGAUUGGUCCAAGGAUGUUGAAAAUCGAGUAAACAAUUAGGAGUUUGCGAACGGUGUGUUGGUACUUAACGUAUAUGUACGCGUACUUUACGAAUUCUGGAAGAUUAAAGACUGUCUCUACGUG
rnacentral:rRNA from 1 species